AUAGCUCAGCAGUACAGUACCUGCCUGGCAAGCAUGAGGUCCUGAGUUCGAUUCCCAGU
rnacentral:tRNA from 1 species